rnacentral:rRNA from 1 species
UACGUAGGGGGCGAGCGUUGUCCGGAUUUAUUGGGCGUAAAGAGCGUGUAGGCGGCCAGGUAGGUCUGCUGUGAAAACUCGAGGCUCAACCUCGAGACGUCGGCGGAAACCAUCUGGCUAGAGUUCGGCAGGGGAGACUGGAAUUCCUGGUGUAGCGGUGAAAUGCGCAGAUAUCAGGAGGAACACCAAUAGCGAAGGCAGCUCGCUGGGACGGUACUGACGCUAAGGCGCGAAAGCGUGGGGAGCGAACAGG